rnacentral:lncRNA from 1 species
UCACACAGCCGUCGGCUGCAUUCCUCUACUCGAGCUGAUUUGCCUCCCAAGUCUUCACUAGACGAGGUUCUUUUUCCAAUUUCGCUCCUUGGAUCUUCUUUCAUAUCUGCCGCAACGUGCUCCCUGUUUCUGGUUGUCUAGUCUACGAAAUCUUGAUUCCCUAACCUAACCUAGCUUCCAGCGAGAUUUUUGUGUCCUGCUUCGUUCAGGUUUAAUUCGUUUAAUACUCAACUGGACGGGCAUUUUAUUUGGGCCACUGCAUAAUGAACUGAACCUUUUCCUUAUUUUUGUUGUUCGGAAUUGCAUAGCCGCUGACAAAAGAGACAUUGAUAGCGCCCCAAGUGUUCGUUAAAUGCAUCACGAAAUUGCCAAACUCCAUCAGUGAUUAAAUUAUAGGCAAAUGCAGUCAGCGGCUAUGUAUAGUCUAUUAAUCUCCGGCCCUUAGCUUGCAAAAAUAAAAUUGUUAAGUCAUACUCUAGCCUUUUCCAAAUGUUUGUCGGAGUGAGUAUAGCUCUUUUGCUCAGCGGUGUGCAAAGUCUCAAUUCUGAGCAUAUUGGUUGAUUAUUUGUUGAGUAUCGAUUCUAGUGAUGAAGAACUCAAAUUAUCUAGUGGUACCAUUUACUGGGUUACUUAUAAGCUUAUUUUUUCUUUCAAAAUGGAUGUUUAACCCCAGCCUCGGCAUCAUUGCGAUGCACACAACAAUAUUUAUUAAAGAUAAGAUAAAUAGGGUAUAAUUCAUGUCAUCCAGUAUAACACAAACACAACCUGAAGAUAAAUGCUACAACAGGCUGAUAAGAGAAAUACAUGCCUACACACAUAGCCCAUUAAUAGAUCGCCAUCCAAAUUGGUUGGGCCCGUGCUACCUUCUCUCAUCGGUUGCACCCAAACUACAUAUGCUCUUGCGCUUCCGCACACUGAAUUAAGGACCACAUACAGAUCCAUCUUGUAACUUGGAAGGUGACCUUCAGAAAAUUUAGUAUAUUCGUUCUAUUAAAACAUGGUCAUUACGGCAUCUCUAUAUUGCCUAGAGAAAAGCGCACCUCCCACAAGGAUGUGUGCCUUACACUUAGGAUGAAUCCCACCCAAUCAGUUCUUGAACAAAUUCAAUAUACUACUAGGUGUAGGUAAGUUGAAAGCUACAUGAUUCGUACGCCAAAGAAGUGAGGCAAAUGGACACAAAAGAAAGAGAUGUUGUUUUGUUCCCUCUUGAUCAGAAAAGCAACAUUUUUUAUGCCCGUGCGACAUACAUUUUGCCAAAUUAGGAUUACCCCUCUAUGCAGAAACCACAUGACGAUCUUAAUCUUGAGCGGCACCUUAGGUUUCCAAAUAUGUUGCCUCCAAGGCCCAGUGUUUAUGAGGUCCACAUACGUUGAUCACACGAGGAAACUCUAGAAGAAUGCUACCGCCAUAAAAAAUAAUCGGGUUCUUUAGUUAAGUUGACCGACAUUAACCAGCGUACUAAAUCAAGCCAAGAAGUCCAUGCUAACACAGCCUGAAGAUAAAUACUACAACCGGCUCAUAAGAGAAAUACAUGCCUACACGAUAAUGGCAGCUACCAAAAAACACCGAACACAAAAUUAUUUAUAAAUAGAUAAUCAGCUUUAAAUGACAAAUAACAUCAAGCAAAAGACACUGGGUUAUUACGAUGAAUCCUUGCUUCAGCUUACCUACCUGUCUUCAGAAGAUUUUAUGUUUCACUGUUGAUCAAACUAUUUCAUUUGUAUUUGUAUAGUUAGAUGCACUGUAUGAGGUGGUUCGAGCAACCAAGGUUUCCUCAUUGAGUAAUGAUAUCCUUACGCGCAUCAUUGAGAGGGUUCGAGCAACCAAGGUUUCCUCAUUGAGUAAUGAUAUCCUUACGCGCAUCAUUGAGAGGUAUAUACAUCUAUAUAAUAUGUGUUCCUCAUAAAACUUAUUUUUCAAUUGUUCCUUUUUUGGGCGAGGAACGCUAAUUAUGGCAUCUUUCCAGCUCUUCAAAUGCUCGUAGGGAGUUUGUCCAGAAGGAAGUGCGGAGGACAUGGAUGAUUUGUGCUGCAACAGUAGGUGGUUUUUUCACUGGAUUAUUAAUAACAAGGAAGAUGGAUAACAAGACAGAGAGAGAGCUCGGGAAUGAAACUUACGACAACCUCGCGAAGUAGAGAGUUUAUUGAACUUUUGGACCAGGUAUUGUCGUUGCUUCUUCACUUUGCACCAGCUAUAUGAAAACCAAUCGCUUUGCUAUAGUGGAGCCAUUCCAAAUUCACUUUGCAUCAAGUAGGAGGAGGAAAACCAAACAAUUGGGCCAUGCAGGCUGCCAUGUUGGUCAGCACCGCACAUGCUAUCUCU